rnacentral:rRNA from 1 species
ACGUAGGGGGCGAGCGUUAUUCGGAAUUACUGGGUGUAAAGGGUAUGCAGGCGGCCCUUCAAGUCGCGUGUCAAAGUCCCGUGCUCAACCUUGGAAGUGCACUCGAGACUGUCGGGCUUGAGUGCUGGAGAGGAGAGUGGAAUUCCCGGUGUAGCGGUAAAAUGCGUAGAGAUCUGGAGGAACACCGACGGCGAAGGCAGCCCACUAGGCCGUUUCUGACGCUAAGGUACGAAAGCGUGGGGAGAAAACAG